rnacentral:rRNA from 1 species
UACGAACUGUGCAAACGUUAUUCGGAUUCACUGGGCUUAAAGGGUGCGUAGGCGGCCAUGUAAGUAGGGUGUGAAAUCCCCCGGCUUAACCGGGGAACUGCGCCCUAAACUGUGUGGCUUGAGUGAGAUAGGGGUGUGUGGAACUUCCGGUGGAGCGGUGAAAUGUGUUGAUAUCGGAAGGAACGCCGGUGGCGAAGCGACACACUGGGUCUCAACUGACGCUGAGGCACGAAAGCCAGGGAGCGAACGGGA